rnacentral:rRNA from 1 species
UACGGAGGGUGCAAGCGUUAUCCGGAUUUACUGGGUUUAAAGGGUGCGUAGGCGGGCUUUUAAGUCAGCGGUGAAAUCUCCGGGCUCAACCCGGAAAUUGCCGUUGAUACUAUUAGUCUUGAAUUAAGUUGAGGUGGGCGGAAUAUGUCAUGUAGCGGUGAAAUGCUUAGAUAUGACAUAGAACACCGAUUGCGAAGGCAGCUCGCUAAACUUAUAUUGACGCUGAGGCACGAAAGCGUGGGGAUCAAACAGGAUUAGAAACCCUGGUAGUCCACGCCCUAAACGAUGAUUACUCGAUCUUAGCGAUACACAGUUAGGGUCUAUGCAAAAGCAUUAAGUAAUCCACCUGGGGAGUACGACCGCAAGGUUGAA